rnacentral:rRNA from 1 species
GAUAAACGCUGGCGGCGUGCAUGAGACAUGCAAGUCGAACGAAGGAUCGGGCUUGCUCGAUCCUUAGUGGCGGACGGCUGAGUAACGCGUAGGUGACCUACCCCGAAGUGGGGAAUAACUGCCCGAAAGGGUGGCUAAUACCGCAUGUGGUCGCACGUUCAUUCGUGCGAGUAAAGCCGCAAGGCGCUUCGGGAGGGGCCUGCGUCCGAUUAGCUCGUUGGUGGGGUAAUGGCUUACCAAGGCGACGAUCGGUAGGUGGUCUGAGAGGACGAUCACCCAGACUGGGACUGAGACACGGCCCAGACUCCUACGGGAAGCAGCAGUCGGGAAUUUUGCUCAAUGGGGGAAACCCUGAAGCAGCAACGCCGCGUGAGGGAUGAAGGCCUUCGGGUUGUAAACCUCUUUUGUCAGGGACGAUGAUGACGGUACCUGGCGAAUAAGCCACGGCUAACUACGUG